GGACCCGUGAUCCGGGUUGCGGACAGUGUCUGGUGGGUAGUUUGACUGGGGCGGUCUCCUCCUAAAGAGUAACGGAGGAGCACGAAGGUUGGCUAAUCCUGGUCGGACAUCAGGAGGUUAGUGCAAUGGCAUAAGCCAGCUUGACUGCGAGCGUGACGGCGCGAGCAGGUGCGAAAGCAGUUCAUAGUGAUCCGGUGGAUCUGAAUGGAAGGGCCAUCGCUCAACGGAUAAA
rnacentral:rRNA from 1 species